rnacentral:rRNA from 1 species
UUGGAAUGAGUACAAUUUACAUCUCUUCACGAGGAUCAAUUGGAGGGCAAGUCUGGUGCCAGCAGCCGCGGUAAUUCCAGCUCCAAUAGCGUAUAUUAAAGUUGUUGCAGUUAGAACGCUCGUAGUCGGAUUUCGGGGCGGGUCGACCGGUCUGCCGAUGGGUACGCACUGGCCGACGCGUCCUUCCUUCCGGAGACCGUCUCACUCUUAACUGAGCGGAGGCGGGAGACGGAACGUUUACUUUGAAAAAAUCAGAGUGUUUCAAGCAGGCAGCUCGCCCUUGCAUGGAUUAGCAUGGGAUAAUGAAAUAGGACUUUGGUGCUAUUUUGUUGGUUUCGAACACCGAAGUAAUGAUGAGAAGGGACAGUCAGGGGCACUCGUAUUCCGCAGAGAGAGGUGAAAUUCUCAGACCCGCGGAAGACGAACCACUGCGAAAGCAUUUGCCAGGGAUGUUUUCACUGAUCAGGAACGAAAGUUAGGGGAUCGAAGACGAUCAGAUACCGUCGUAGUCUUAACCAUAAACCAUGCCGACUAGGGAUUGGAGGAUGUUCACUUAUUGACUCCUUCAGCACCUUACGGGAAACUAAAGUCUUUGGGUUCCGGGGGGAGUAUGGUCGCAAGGCUGAAACUUAAAGGAAUUGACGGAAGGGCACCACCAGGUGUGGAGCCUGCGGCUUAAUUUGACUCAACACGGGGAAACUUACCAGGUCCAGACAUUGUGAGGAUUGACAGAUUGAGAGCUCUUUCUUGAUUCGAUGGGUGGUGGUGCAUGGCCGUUCUUAGUUGGUGGAGUGAUUUGUC